rnacentral:rRNA from 1 species
UAGGGAAUAUUGCACAAUGGGCGCAAGCCUGAUGCAGCCAUGCCGCGUGUAUGAAGAAGGCCUUCGGGUUGUAAAGUACUUUCAGUCGGGAGGAAGGUGGUAAGGUUAAUAACCUUAUCAAUUGACGUUACCGACAGAAGAAGCACCGGCUAACUCCGUGCCAGCAGCCGCGGUAAUACGGAGGGUGCAAGCGUUAAUCGGAAUUACUGGGCGUAAAGCGCACGCAGGCGGUUGAUUGAGUCAGAUGUGAAAUCCCCGGGCUUAACCCGGGAAUUGCAUCUGAUACUGGUCAGCUAGAGUCUUGUAGAGGGGGGUAGAAUUCCAUGUGUAGCGGUGAAAUGCGUAGAGAUGUGGAGGAAUACCGGUGGCGAAGGCGGCCCCCUGGACAAAGACUGACGCUCAGGUGCGAAAGCGUGGGGAGCAAACAGG